AAAAAAAUUAUUAAAUUUUUAUUAAGGAGCGUUUUCUGUUCAUGAUAAAGUAGAAACGAGAAGGACAGAAUCUAUGAUCUGAGUGAAAAUCUGACUCGACUCAACUCAUUAACGCUUCCAUGACUCAACGAGUCUAGACAUUGCAAAACGCGAGGAACCACCCUCACUCACUGCUGCCUUGGCUGCGUUUUUCAUAGCAAUGGUUCGCUCCCUAACUGAGUUACCUGAUUCCGACUGCAUCAACUGAUUAACUCGCUUCUCCACCUCCAACGCAGUUACAAACCCGUUCUCGUCUUCCUUCAUUGGCAAAGCAAUUUUUAUUUCUUCAACCAACAUCAACCUAUUGAACUUUUGCUCUGCGUACAGCGGCCACGCCACCAUCGGCACUCCAGCACACACGGCUUCAAGCACCGAGUUCCACCCACAAUGAGUCACAAAACCACCAACCGAGUUAUGAUUCAAUACUGCUACCUGGGGAGCCCA
rnacentral:misc_RNA from 1 species